AAUGAACGCUGGCGGCGUGCCUAAUACAUGCAAGUCGAGCGAAGCGGGGACGGGUGAGAAACACGUGGAUAACCUCCUAUAAGACUGGGAUAACUUCGGGAAACCGUAGCUAAACCGGAUACUUAUAGAUGGAUCCGCGCUGCAUUAGCUAGUGGGUAAGGUAACGGCUUACCAAGGCUACGAUUCAUAGCCGACCUGAGAGAGUGAUCGGCCGCCCUGGGCCUGAGCCACGGGCCAGACUCCUACGUGAGGCAGCAGUAGGGAAUCUUAGGGAAUUGGCGAAAGCCUGACAGAGCAACGUCGCGUGAGUGAUGAAGGUCUUGGGAUCGUAAAACUCGGUUAUGUGGGAAGGGUUACCUAGGCAGAAAGCCAGGGCUAACUGCGUGCCAGCAGCCGCGGUAAUUC
rnacentral:rRNA from 1 species